CCCUACGGGUGGCUGCAGUUUCGAAUCAUUCACAAUGGGCGAAAGCCUGAUGGUGCGACGCCGCGUGAGGGAUGAAGGUCUUCGGAUUGUAAACCUCUGUCACUGGGGAAGAAACGCUUUGAGCUAACAGUUCAAAGCCUGACUUAACCCGGAGAGGAAGCAGUGGCUAACUCUGUGCCAGCAGCCGCGGUAAUACAGAGACUGCAAGCGUUAUUCGGAUUCACUGGGCGUAAAGGGUGCGCAGGCGGCCAUGUGUGUGAGGUGUGAAAGCCCGGGGCUUAACCCCGGAAUUGCACCUCAAACUACACGGCUAGAGCAUUGGAGAGGGUAGCAGAAUUCACGGUGUAGCAGUGAAAUGCGUAGAUAUCGUGAGGAAUACCAGAGGCGAAGGCGGCUACCUGGACAAUUGCUGACGCUCAGGCACGAAAGCGUGGGGAGCAAAAGGGAUUAGAUACCCCUGUAGUC
rnacentral:rRNA from 1 species